ensembl:lncRNA LINC02024 long intergenic non-protein coding RNA 2024
CCAAAUGCUAGACUGAAAAAAGAAUGUAAACAGCUUGAUGGAGGGGAGGAUCCUGGUGCACCUGUGGUUUUGACAGCUUUUGCUGCUGCUUGAGGAGGAAACAGGUUGCCUGUUUGUUCUUCAAGAGCACUUCUGGCAUCCAGGUAUUAUGCAGGCAUGCACUGCCAGCUGUGAAAGAUGCCGCUUCCUUGUCACUUCAGAGAAUGAUGCUUCUACAGAAGAUCCCUCUUGCUAUUUCAUUCAGGGAGCUCGGGAGAGGAAGACAAAAAGAAUCAAAUGCAAAGCACAGAUCAUUGAAAGGGCCAGGGUCUGAAGUGAGACAACUCGUGUCACAGUGUUUUCAAACUUGAGAAUGAAGAGAAGAAAGGAAAUUUGGUUUGAUGUUAUCAGUUUUGAUUUGCUAACCCAAAAGGUCCAGAAUAAAGAACAAAUCAUUAUAAA